rnacentral:rRNA from 1 species
UGGGGCCAAGGGAAUGCCUCAGUAGCGGCGAGUGAAGCGGCAAGAGCUCAGAUUUGAAAUCGUGCUUUGCGGCACGAGUUGUAGAUUGCAGGUUGGAGUCUGUGUGGAAGGCGGUGUCCAAGUCCCUUGGAACAGGGCGCCCAGGAGGGUGAGAGCCCCGUGGGAUGCCGGCGGAAGCAGUGAGGCCCUUCUGACGAGUCGAGUUGUUUGGGAAU